UACGUAGGUCCCGAGCGUUGUCCGGAUUUAUUGGGCGUAAAGCGAGCGCAGGUGGUUUAAUAAGUCUGAUGUAAAAGGCAGUGGCUCGACCAUUGUGUGCAUUGGAAACUGUUAGACUUGAGUGCAGUAGAGGAGAGUGGAAUUCCCGGUGUAGCGGUGAAAUGCGUAGAUAUCGGGAGGAAGGUCGGUGGCGAAGGCGGCCUCCUGGGCCUGCACUGACGCUGAGGCGCGAAAGCGUGGGGAGCAAACAGG
rnacentral:rRNA from 1 species